rnacentral:rRNA from 1 species
UACGGGGGGGGCAAGCGUUGUUCGGAAUUACUGGGCGUAAAGGGCUCGUAGGCGGCCAACUAAGUCAGGCGUGAAAUCCCUCGGCUUAACCGGGGAACUGCGUCUGAUACUGGAUGGCUUGAGUUCGGGAGAGGGAUGCGGAAUUCCAGGUGUAGCGGUGAAAUGCGUAGAUAUCUGGAGGAACACCGGUGGCGAAGGCGGCAUCCUGGACCGACACUGACGCUGAGGAGCGAAAGCCAGGGGAGCAAACGGG